rnacentral:tRNA from 4 species
UCCGUGAUAGCUCAGUCGGUAGAGCAAGUGACUGUUAAUCACUGGGUCCCAGGUUCGAGUCCUGGUCACGGAGCCA